rnacentral:pre_miRNA from 1 species
ACCACCUGGAAUCUUUCUAAAAUGCAGAUUCUGAUUCAGUCGAUUUGGAUCAGGGCCUGAGAUUCUGCAUUUCCAACAAGCUCCCAGGUGAUGCUGA